rnacentral:rRNA from 1 species
GACGAACGCUGGCGGCGUGCUUAACACAUGCAAGUCGAACGGAAAGGCCCUGCUUUUGUGGGGUGCUCGAGUGGCGAACGGGUGAGUAACACGUGAGUAACCUACCCUUGACUUAGGGAUAACUUCAGGAAACUUGGGCUAAUACCGGAUAGGAGCUCCCGCUGCAUGGUGGGGGUUGGAAAGUUUCGGCGGUUGGGGAUGGACUCGCGGCUUAUCAGCUUGUUGGUGGGGUAUUGGCAUACCAAGGCUUUGACGGGUAGCCGGCCUGAGAGGGUGACCGGCCACGUGGGGACUGGGAUAAGGCCCAGACUGCUACGGGAGGCAGGAGUGGGGAAUAUUGCACAAUAGGCGGGAGCCAGAUGCAGCAACGCGGCGUGCGGGAAGACGGCCUUCGGGUUGUAAACCGCUUUCGCCUGUGACGAGGCGAGAGUGACGGUAAUGGGUAAAGAAGCCCCGGCUAACUACGUG